UACGUAGGGUCCGAGCGUUGUCCGGAAUUACUGGGCGUAAAGAGCUCGUAGGUGGUUUGUCGCGUUGUUCGUGAAAACUCACAGCUUAACUGUGGGCGUGCGGGCGAUACGGGCAGACUAGAGUACUGCAGGGGAGACUGGAAUUCCUGGUGUAGCGGUGGAAUGCGCAGAUAUCAGGAGGAACACCGAUGGCGAAGGCAGGUCUCUGGGCCGCAACUGACACUGAGGAGCGAAAGCAUGGGGAGCGAACAGG
rnacentral:rRNA from 1 species